ensembl:lncRNA
AUGCUAAUGGUCCAGAUCCCUCACAGACCCCAGGCCCCUGCCUCUGCUGGGCGGGUCCCACCCUGGAAGGGAAGAUGGGUGAAAUGGCCUCUGGAAGAGGCCUCUUCCCGCCUGGCUCUCCUGGAGGCCUCCGUCUCAGACGAGUGGAAUUGUCAGACUCCAGAUGGGGCAACAGAAAGCGGAGGGCCCAGGUCAGGCCCCCGUCUCCUCUCCCGCCCCUGCAACGUCAGAGAUGAUCUCCCCACACGGACAAAAAGAAGAAGCUGAUCUUGCUCCUUUUCCACGGAUUGAGCUUUAGAACAUUCUGGGGCUGCCGGAUGCUGUUCAGUGGGUGCUGAGGGGUAGAGACCCUACGGUCUCCCACCGCGAGCCUCGCUGUCCUCCUGCUGCCAGAUUUGCCAGAGAGAAUGCUUGAUGCCGCCGGGCCCUCCCGCCAGGCAGACCUCUGACAAAGUCACCACCAGAGGGGACUUUCAGCCAGGGCUGGCUCCAGUCAGCUUCUGAAACAAGAGGUGCUUUCUUCCUUGCACAACCUUCAGAGAAAAGGGGAACAACUUGACAUCCCAAAGGGCUUCUUGGAAGCAGGGGACAAGGUUAAUCAAGGAAAGAUGGGGCAGGAGGCAUCGAGGGCCCCCUGACUGGUGCUCUGAAGCUUGUGCUUUUUGACUUUGGCUGGGAGAGGGGCAACCAUUUAAGAAAGUGGGUAGGAACAGGGUGAAUAUGGUAUAAUGUAAAUAUAAUGUUUUUAAUUGUUUUCUUUUCACUGGAACUUUCUUUGUGAUAAGUAUAAAAAUAGCACACACACCUUCAGAGAUUCUGCUGCAUCUUGCCCCAGAACGUUGCCCUCUUUGAGAAUUAUUGUUUUUCUGUGUAUCUGCACUAGCUAAGACCAUUUUAUCAAGCCCGACUUACUCUAGUUUUUAUUAUAAAAAAUAAUUUUUAUUUUCCAAAUACAGAAUUAUAGUAUCAUUUGGAUAUGCUUUUUCAAUCUCUGUGUAAAUCCCAAAUUGGAGAUUAAGCUCCCCCAUCCCUCCCCAUUGGAGAAUCACUGAAUCACUGCCCUAAUAUCCAGCACGAGAAAGCAGAAAGCAUUGGCCGUGCUGGGCCGGGACUCUUCCAGGACCCAGUUGUCUCUUGGCCGAGUCGCUCUCCCCAUCCCUCGACAUCAGGGUCUUCUUUGGUCAUUGGGCCCACAGUAAGAAAUUCAGUAAGUAUACGUUGCAUGAAUCUUACACUAUUGAAUUAUCAUCACAUGCUUGGCACAGUGCUAGCACCUGGUGUGUGCCAAGGUACACCUAAGUGUUAGCUGUUGUUCCUAAGCUCCCCGACACGCUGCCUCCUCCACGUGUCCUGUAGUCUGCCCUCUGUUAGGAAGCUCUGGCAGCAAAGAUGCUAAUUUCUUAAGGUGCCCUGGAACAGCUCUCAGCAUCCUCUGUUCCGCAGAACUAUGUGUCACCUCCAGAUGGUGACCAACUGUCCAGAUACCGGCUUCUUUAGGUCAUGUCAGAAGCCUAGUACAGUGCUCACACACAGGAGGGCUCACCGAAUGUUUGUUGAGGGCGUGAGUGGCAGGCCCGGUGCCCUCCACUCAGCAGCCUCUGCGG